UACGUAGGGUGCGAGCGUUUGUCCGGAAUUAUUGGGCGUAAAGAGCUUGUAGGCGGUUUGUCGCGUCUGCCGUGAAAAUCCGAGGCUCAACCUCGGACUUGCGGUGGGUACGGGCAGACUAGAGUGUGGUAGGGGAGACUGGAAUUCCUGGUGUAGCGGUGAAAUGCGCAGAUAUCAGGAGGAACACCGGUGGCGAAGGCGGGGUCUCUGGGCCGAUAUUGACGCUGAGGAGCGAAAGCGUGGGGAGCGAACAGG
rnacentral:rRNA from 1 species